UAAAGAAAGUAAGAAAGGGCGUAUGGCGGAUGCCUAGGCUCACGGAGGCGAUGAAGGACGUGAUAAGCUGCGAUAAGCUUCGGGUAGGUGCAAAUAACCCUUGAUCCGAAGAUUUCCGAAUGGGACAACCUAGCCGUCUGAAGGACGGUUACUCUUACCAAGUAAGAGAGCUAACGCAGGGAACUGAAACAUCUUAGUACCUGCAGGAAGAGAAAAUAAAUGAAUGAUUCCCCCAGUAGUGGCGAGCGAACGGGGAACAGCCCAAACCGUUGACGUCGCAAGGCGUCAGCGGGGUUGUAGGACCGCGACAUUGUACUGAAAUGGUGAGUGGAAGUAUCUGGAAAGUUACAUCACAGAAGGUGAUAAUCCUGUACACGAAGCCAGAUCAGGCAUAGCGGUAUCCUGAGUAACGCGGGACACGAGGAAUCCUGCGCGAAUCUGCCGGGACCAUCCGGUAAGGCUAAAUACUCCCGUGAGACCGAUAGCGAACGAGUACUGUGAAGGAAAGGUGAAAAGAACCCCGAGCAGGGGAGUGAAAUAGUUCCUGAAACCAUACGCCUACAAGCGGUCGGAGCAUCGCAAGAUGUGACGGCGUGCCUUUUGCAUAAUGAUCCUACGAGUUACCGUCACUGGCGAGGUUGAGUGUCAUGAGACACGUAGCCGCAGUGAAAGCGAGCCUGAAUAGGGCGCACAGUCAGUGGGGGUAGACGCGAAACCAAGUGAUCUACACUUGGCCAGGAUGAAGUCCCGGUAACACGGGAUGGAGGUCCGCACCAAUAAGCGUUGAAAAGCUUCUGGAUGAGCCGAGUG
rnacentral:rRNA from 1 species